rnacentral:rRNA from 1 species
CCUACGGGCGACUGCAGUGGGGAAUCUUCGGCAAUGGGCGGAAGCCUGACGCAGCAAAGUAGCGUGCAGGAUGACGGCCCUCCGAGUGUUAAACUGCUUUUAUACGGGAGUACCGCGCCUUGCGUGUAUGGCUUUGCCUUUACCGUAUGAAUCAAGACCGGCUAAUUCCAUUCCAGCCGACGCGGUACGACGGUAGGUCCGGGCGUUGUCCGGAGUUAUUGGGUUUAAAGGGAGCGUAGGCCGUAGGUCAAGCCUGAUGUGAAAUGUCCGGGCUCAACCCGGGCGUUGCAGCGCGAACUGGCGUGCUUGAGUGCGCGGAAAGCAGGUGGAAUUCGAUGUGUAGCGGUGAAAUGCUUAGAUAUGACGAAGAACCCCGAUUGCGAAGGCAGCUUGCUGGAGUGGAACUGACGCUGAUGCUCGAAAGCGUGGGUAUCGAACAGGAUUAGAUACCCUAGUAGUC